GUCCUUUUGAUAAUAAUAUAAGGUCUAACCUGCCCACUGAAAUUUUUAAAGGGCCGCAGUAUUUUAACUGUGCAAAGGUAGCAUAAUAAUUAGUUUCUUAAUUAGAAGCUGGUAUGAAUGGUUGAACGAGAAAUUUACUGUCUCAAUUUAUAAGUUAAAAUUUUAUUUUUAAGUUAAAAAGCUUAAAUUAAUUUAAAAGACGAGAAGACCCUAUAGAGUUUUAUAAUUAUUAAUAUUUUAUAUUUAGAAUUUUUAAUUUUUAUUUAUAAUUAUUUUGUUGGGGUGAUAUAUAAAUUUAAUAAACUUUAUAUUUUUAAUAACAUAAAUUAAUGGCUAAUUGAUCCAUAUAAAUGAUUAAAAGAAAAAAUUACCUUAGGGAUAACAGCGUAAUUUUUUUUUAGAGUUCUAAUCGAAAAAAAAGAUUGCGACCUCGAUGUUGGAUUAAAAUUAAUUUUUGGUGUAGAAGCUAAAAUAUUAGGUCUGUUCGACCUUUAAAAUUUUACAUGAUCUGAGUUUAAACCGGCGUGAGCCAGGUUGGUUUCUAUCUUUAAAUAAAUUAAAUAUUUUAGUACGAAAGGACCAAAUAUUUUUAAAAUUUAAUUUUUUUUGAAUA
rnacentral:rRNA from 1 species